rnacentral:lncRNA from 1 species
GUCCUCUUGUCUACAUCUCCAGAGGGUAAACGCUGAAAGGGCAGGCAUUGUGGCCCUCACGAAAUAGUUAUGGAGAGGAAGGAAGAUGCUGAUUUACUUUGAAGCAUCCUCAACCAGGAUGGAAACAGUUCAAGUCCUGGUGUUUGCAUAUUGAUACGAUAUUAUAGAAUGAGAAGACGAUGGCCAGCAGGAACAAAUUAGUUCCAGCAACGCUAUUAGUAGGGAUGAUUCCAGAUGACUAAAUAUACCAAACAAGAGCUUCCAGGAACGCAAUGUUCCUAUCUACAGGAUACGGGACCUGUAGAGAGGGAUGAAAAGCUUAGGCUUUCUUAGCCUGAAGAAAACAAAGCAGACAAAUGCCAAGAGGACCCUAGAAGAGGGUGAGCCACACAGAAUGCAGGUCCAAAUCAAAAAAUCACUCCUCUUUCCAGGAGGAGAGUGA